rnacentral:rRNA from 1 species
GACGAACGCUGGCGGCGUGCCUAACACAUGCAAGUCGAACGAAGUGGCGAACGGGUGAGUAAUACGUGGGUAACCUGCCCUCCUCUUCGGGAUAAGGCGUGGAAACGGGUGCUAAUACCGACUACAGGUGGGGGGGUCCGCGGCCUAUCGGCUUGCUGGUGGGGUGCUGGCCUGCCAAGGCGGUGACGGGUAGCCGGCCUGAGAGGGUACACGGCCACGUUGGGACUGAGAUACGGCCCAGGGGCCGACGCGGGGCAGAAGUGGGGGCAAUUGCACAAUGGGCGAAAGCGUGAUGCAGCGACGCCGCGUGGGGGAUGAAGGCUUUCGGGUUGUAAACCUCUUUCGCUAUCGAACGGGUAGGUGGAGAAGAAGCGCCGGCUAACUACGUGUCAGCCGCCGCGGUAAUAC